CCGCACUAAAACAUAAUUCUCGUAUCUUUCUCUUAGUAAUAUUUUAAAUAUAUUGUCAUGGCUCGCAAUUUCUAUUUUAUCGUUGCACUCAUGGUCACGUUUGUUUAUUUGGCUCAAUCACCAAAAGUGAAAAUAGCUGCUCCAAGAGACAUGCCUAAGCCUAUGACUAUAAACGAACUGAAAUCAAUAUUAAUUGGUCAAAGCUUGAAGAGUGGUUGUGGUUGAUAUUGUCGAGAUACUGUCGAGAUCGCACAGACUGCUUUUCUAGGACAUGCCCGUAUUGUUACUACGAUGUUAUUAAACAUACCUAUGGCUGCCACUGGUAAAAGAUCAAUCACUCAUGGCCAAUACAAAUAUGAAUUAAGUCUGUUGCUUCUAUAAAUAUGGGUGUGAUAUAUGUUUUUGUAGUUUGAUUCUCUUUGCAUGUAUUUUCCUUUCGCAAUUUCAGCUUUUAUCUGUGAAAAAAAAUAAAUGACUAAGUGAUCUACUUCUACCUAGAUCAUGAUGACAAUAAUGGAUAUAACAUAAAGAUGGGUUAUGUUGGCUUACAACUGCUUAGAGCCGUGAAUAUGGGCCAAGUCCGUUGGGCUGGCCCGAUCUAGCCUGUAAUUUGAUAGAGUUGAGCUUCAAUUUUUGCAGUCUAUUUAAGAAUAUGGCUUUUAGCCCAGCCGGAUAAGCCUAUGGUUCAUGGAGCUUGAGCAAUGUGGGUUGGGCUAAGUCAUGGAUCGGUCCGUUAGUCAUGCAACUCUUUAGAUUGCUUAUUAAUAUUUUUAUUUGGUUCAAAGGAUAUAAUAUCAAAGUUUAUUUAA